rnacentral:lncRNA from 1 species
UCAGCCAUCAGAUCAGAUAGGAACCUCUAAUGUGUGUGACCCCACAGGUUCGAACCUAAGUCGGUAGCACAGGAAUCAAUUUCUGUACUAAUCGAAGUGACCAUCUAGCAAUGGUACCCGACAUUCGGAUAGGUCAAAGAGUCGCAAUCUCAACACUCAGAACCUACAUGAAUAUGAUUACUGUAUAAUUCAUCCUUUUGACCCCUGUGUUUAGGAUGACUCAGGGUUAAACUGUCAACCCUGAUCAGAUCAUCCGAAUCAUGCUCAACUUAAACAAUCCUAUGACUCCUCACAAGGACUACCCUGGCCAAGGUUUUGCUAAAUUGA